UACGUAGGGGGCAAGCGUUGUCCGGAUUUAUUGGGCGUAAAGAGCUCGUAGGCGGCUCGGUAAGUCGGAUGUGAAACCUCCAGGCUCAACCUGGAGACGCCAUCUGAUACUGCCGUGGCUUGAGUCCGGUAGAGGAGCAGGGAAUUCCUGGUGUAGCGGUGAAAUGCGCAGAUAUCAGGAGGAACACCAGCGGCGAAGGCGCUGCUCUGGGCCGGUACUGACGCUGAGGAGCGAAAACAUGGGGAGCGAACAGG
rnacentral:rRNA from 1 species